GGUCCUGUAGUCUAGUUGGUUAGGACGUCGGAUUCUGAUUCCGUAAGCCCAGGUUCGAAUCCUGGCAGGACCU
rnacentral:tRNA from 1 species